rnacentral:rRNA from 1 species
UACGUAGGGGGCGAGCGUUGUCCGGAAUUAUUGGGCGUAAAGAGCGUGUAGGCGGUUCGGUAAGUCUGCCGUGAAAACCUGGGGCUCAACCCCGGGCGUGCGGUGGAUACUGCCGGGCUAGAGGGUGGUAGAGGCGAGUGGAAUUCCCGGUGUAGCGGUGAAAUGCGCAGAUAUCGGGAGGAACACCGGUGGCGAAGGCAGGUCUCUGGGCUAUAACUGACGCUCAUGCACGAAAGCGUGGGGAGCAAACAGG